rnacentral:lncRNA from 1 species
CGGCCGGGUCCCCUUCUCCUGGGAGCCUGGGCGUGGUCUCCCGUGUCCGGAGCUGCGUCCUUCCUUGCGCUCCACGAAGGUGCCUAAAGCGGCGCCGCGCGUUCAUGAAGAAGUUGCUGACGGUGUUGAGCUCCAAGCCGAGCUGCUGCGAGAUGGUGACCUGCAUCUCCUUGGACGGCCGCUUGUUCUCCUUGAAGAUGGCGAUCAGCGUGCGUCGCUGCAGGCUGAGACCACCCAGACUUGGCCUCCCUCGAGCACCCAGUGGACCCUCUGGAGCGCAGAACAUCUAAGAAAGAAGACUUUGGAGGAGGAGGGGAGAGUGCAGGGACCACCUCUUCCUCUCCCAGAUGAGCAGGUCACCCUUCCUCUUGGUCAGCCCGCACAGAUCACGGAGAGGGCUGAAGGAGGCUGCCCCAUGGCCUGCAGACCAGACACUUGCAAAGGGGAGAAAAGCAAAGGCUCGGGGUGAUGGGGCAGGGCUGAAGCCGAGUCCUGCUCUUCCUGCUCCAGCAGCGAAGUGAACCCCUCCCCUCAAUGCAGUGGGUGUCAGUGGGUACAAAACACAGGCUUCCCCCACUAGGAGCUGGGCCACAAGUCAGAUGGGCUCAUUUGUGGCAUCAGCUUGAAACUCCAUCAGAAUCUCAAUUUCUCUCCUGCAUCCAGACUGGGACUGUGGUGCUGAAGAGGCUGUCCUGCCCUUGUCUCCAUCCCGGAGUUCCAGCUACUCUGUGACCCCCAGAAGUGGCCGGUGGUGCAGGUAGUACUAGUGGGUCUCUGCUCCCAGUCUCUUCUCUGUGCCAGCCGUCGUGGCCUACUGGAAUGGCACAGAGAGCUUUUCUUUUCGUUGCAGAACAGCCUGGAACAUGACAUGCUAGAUCAAUGUCCAUACACGUCCACAGAAAUAAAUGAAUGUUCCUUCUGCCAUGACUCAUGUCUCGGGGACAACAGCAAAAAGAGGCUCUGCUGCCCCCCUUCCCGGCGUUCAAUCUAAUUACAGCUCCUCACAGCCCAGAUCGAUCCAGUCGGAGCUGUUUACCGCGAGCAGCUUUGUCAUUGCUCCCAUCCCCCACAGCCGCUGACAGAGGAUGCCCACUCCAUGCAGCCAGCCCUGCACCUCCUCCAGGACCCUGGGGACUGAGGCCCUGAUUCCAGGAGCAAUCACCCCCGAGAGGCUCUGAUCUGAGGACUCCAGGUUCCUGGUUUAUCAAGUGGACGCAGUGACCCAGAGCCCUGUGUCCCCACCGGGCCGCAGUCCCGAGAGUCACGAAGGAAUGAACGCCGAAGCACGGACCUGCAACCGACUCAUCCAUUCACCAUUCAGGGAGCAGCUGCUGCGUGAGGCCAGAGAGAGGCAGCUCCAGGAGCUGGCCUCCACUCACAGUCACAGGACAGCGUGAAGCGGCGGCUGCCUGGGACUCUGUUCCCCAAUGAGGAGGCCAGCUCCGCUCUGAGUCCAGGAAAGGGGGAGAGAGGACGCCUUUGGUCUGUACAGUGCCCCAAACCACCAAGCCACCCGCUAUGGUGACCGCGAACGAUUGGAAACAGCCUAAAUGUCAGCGGGGCGGGGAAGUGGUUCAGGAAAACCUGAAACCACCGCCGAGUCAGAGAGUACUAGGCGGCCGGCAAAAAUGACCAGGAUGCGCGCUUCACGGAUCUGAGCCGGGGGGAAGAAUCUCGGAGCAUCUGAAGCUCCCCUUUCUGUUAAAAAAAAAAAAAAAACAAAAAAGGGAAAUAAAAAGAAUUUAUCCCUGGAGCGCAGCCUUUUGCAAGAAGGAGAAAUACAGACUGUGAUUUGCAGAAGGGAGGGCAAUGGAAGCCACCUCAUCUUGCAUUGAAAUUCGGAAACUGGCGAAUGCGUUAACUAUUGUAAAAUCAUGUCGAUUUAUUUAUUUGUUUAUCAUUUUUUGAGACAGGGUCAGCCUGUGUUGCCCAGGCUGGA